CAAGAGAGACACUACACAAUCGAGAAGGCCUUCUCUGAGCACGUUGGCAAAUACGUUUGUGUAGUCCUCAGCCAAUGUGGCAAUUACACGUCUCCUCCACACGAUGUCACUGUUCACAACAGGGCUGUAAUCAUUCUGGUGAUCUGUGGCGCCUCUGCUCUGGCCUUGGUUAUCAUCAUGGGGCUUUCCAUGAAGAUUAAAAUGCACAGAGAUAAAGUCAAGAACCAGCAGAGGACCAAGGAGAGGCUGCAGGAAAUGCGGAGAGCUCAGGAUCUACAGACUCGUGGCCUGCCACCAAAUCCAACACCAACAUAGUCCUAC
ensembl:lncRNA